GACUCUCGGCAACGGAUAUCUCGGCUCUUGCAUCGAUGAAGAACGUAGCGAAAUGCGAUACUUGUUGUGAAUUGCAGAAUCCCGUGAACCAUCGAGUCUUUGAAUGCAAGUUGCGCCCGAAGCCACUAGGCCGAGGGCACGCCUGCCUGGGUGUCA
rnacentral:rRNA from 1 species